rnacentral:rRNA from 1 species
CCAGGGGGGGUGCUAUACAUGCAAGUCGAACGAACUCUGGUAUUGAUUGGUGCUUGCAUCAUGAUUUACAUUUGAGUGAGUGGCGAACUGGUGAGUAACACGUGGGAAACCUGCCCAGAAGCGGGGGAUAACACCUGGAAACAGAUGCUAAUACCGCAUAACAACUUGGACCGCAUGGUCCGAGUUUGAAAGAUGGCUUCGGCUAUCACUUUUGGAUGGUCCCGCGGCGUAUUAGCUAGAUGGUGGGGUAACGGCUCACCAUGGCAAUGAUACGUAGCCGACCUGAGAGGGUAAUCGGCCACAUUGGGACUGAGACACGGCCCAAACUCCUACGGGAGGCAGCAGUAGGGAAUCUUCCACAAUGGACGAAAGUCUGAUGGAGCAACGCCGCGUGAGUGAAGAAGGGUUUCGGCUCGUAAAACUCUGUUGUUAAAGAAGAACAUAUCUGAGAGUAACUGUUCAGGUAUUGACGGUAUUUAACCAGAAAGCCACGGCUAACUACGUGCCAGCAGCCGCGGUAAUACGUAGGUGGCAAGCGUUGUCCGGAUUUAUUGGGCGUAAAGCGAGCGCAGGCGGUUUUUUAAGUCUGAUGUGAAAGCCUUCGGCUCAACCGAAGAAGUGCAUCGGAAACUGGGAAACUUGAGUGCAGAAGAGGACAGUGGAACUCCAUGUGUAGCGGUGAAAUGCGUAGAUAUAUGGAAGAACACCAGUGGCGAAGGCGGCUGUCUGGUCUGUAACUGACGCUGAGGCUCGAAAGUAUGGGUAGCAAACAGGAUUAGAUACCCUGGUAGUCCAUACCGUAAACGAUGAAUGCUAAGUGUUGGAGGGUUUCCGCCCUUCAGUGCUGCAGCUAACGCAUUAAGCAUUCCGCCUGGGGAGUACGGCCGCAAGGCUGAAACUCAAAGGAAUUGACGGGGGCCCGCACAAGCGGUGGAGCAUGUGGUUUAAUUCGAAGCUACGCGAAGAACCUUACCAGGUCUUGACAUACUAUGCAAAUCUAAGAGAUUAGACGUUCCCUUCGGGGACAUGGAUACAGGUGGUGCAUGGUUGUCGUCAGCUCGUGUCGUGAGAUGUUGGGUUAAGUCCCGCAACGAGCGCAACCCUUAUUAUCAGUUGCCAGCAUUAAGUUGGGCACUCUGGUGAGACUGCCGGUGACAAACCGGAGGAAGGUGGGGAUGACGUCAAAUCAUCAUGCCCCUUAUGACCUGGGCUACACACGUGCUACAAUGGAUGGUACAACGAGUUGCGAACUCGCGAGAGUAAGCUAAUCUCUUAAAGCCAUUCUCAGUUCGGAUUGUAGGCUGCAACUCGCCUACAUGAAGUCGGAAUCGCUAGUAAUCGCGGAUCAGCAUGCCGCGGUGAAUACGUUCCCGGGCCUUGUACACACCGCCCGUCACACCAUGAGAGUUUGUAACACCCAAAGUCGGUGGGGUAACCUUUUAGGAACCAGCCGCCUAAGGUGAAACAGAAUUG